rnacentral:rRNA from 1 species
AUUGAACGCUGGCGGCAGGCCUAACACAUGCAAGUCGAGCGGAUGAAGGGAGCUUGCUCCUGGAUUCAGCGGCGGACGGGUGAGUAAUGGCUAGGAAUCUGCCUGGUAGUGGGGGAUAACGUCCGGAAACGGGCGCUAAUACCGCAUACGUCCUGAGGGAGAAAGUGGGGGAUCUUCGGACCUCACGCUAUCAGAUGAGCCUAGGUCGGAUUAGCUAGUUGGUGGGGUAAAGGCCUACCAAGGCGACGAUCCGUAACUGGUCUGAGAGGAUGAUCAGUCACACUGGAACUGAGACACGGUCCAGACUCCUACGGGAGACAGCAGUGGGGAAUAUUGGGCAAUGGGCGAAAGCCUGAUCCAGCCAUGCCGCGUGUGUGAAGAAGGUCUUCGGAUUGUAAAGCACUUUAAGUUGGGAGGAAGGGCAGUAAGUUAAUACCUUGCUGUUUUGACGUUACCAACAGAAUAAGCACCGGCUAACUUCGUG